AUCUUGUUCUUCUGUCUUCUAGACUCUCUCCAACCUCUCUUGCUCCUGCUACCUCUACUGCUUUAACAACAAUUUUCUCUCCACUUUUUUUCCCCACCUUCACUGCCAUGCUCUAAGUUUUUGCCACAGAGGAAGAUAAAGAAAUCUACCUCUUCCCACUAUACCACACUUGUCUCUCUUCAAUUUGCAUCUGUCUCUUCCAGUUCUAAAUCUCAGAAGUGGCCACUGGUGAAGAACAGAAUGAAGGAUAACUUUUCCUGUUACAUCUUACUCCACAAUUUGCUCCUAGUCAAAUAUGUCUUCAUGUUAAUUAAAUUCAUUUAGCUAACCAGGUAUUUGUUAGCCAGUUCACAGUGUUUUAGAGCCCAAUGUCCAAGGACUGUGGUCAAUGUAAAUUCCUGACUUAAAGGGACACUUCACUUUUUUUUGCUAAUUUUCCAGCAGUAAGUUUUACCGUUUUAGAAUCCAUUCAGCUGAUCUCUGCGUCUGGCACUACCACUUUUAGCAUAGCUUAGCAUAAUACAUUGAAUCUGAUUAGGCCAUUACCAUCACGCCAAAAAAUUACCAAAGAGUUUCGAUAUUUUUCCUAUUUAAAACUUGACUUGUACUAAGACAGACGGAAAAUUUAAAGUUGUGAUUUUCUCAGCUGAUAUUUCUAGGAACUAUACUCUUAUUCUGUCGUAAUAAUCAAGGACUUUGCUGUCGUAACAUGGCUGCAGAAGGCAUAAUGAUAUAACGCAGUGCCCGAAAAUAGUCCCCUUAGUAUCUUUCAAUAGCAGGGGCAAUUUUCGGGCACUGCGUAAUAUCAUUUUGGUUGAUUGACAAAAACAAGCACAAAUUUGUUUGACACUAAUGGAAAGGACUGCAUAUCACUUCACAUAAAUAUGGACUCAUGUGAUUCACCUACAAAGCAUGGCAUUCAUGGCUUAAUAAACUUUUUGUCUUUUCAUCAUUUCAGGUUGCUGAAAAUGUAGUUGGCAGAAGGUUUCCUUUUCGAUAAAAUAACUGGGGAACAGAUAAAUGAGAGGAAAGCCGAAUUGAAAGUUCACUGGUUACGUGCUCUGUGUGUGGAAAAACUUGGGAUGACACAUAGGAGCCUGCCAGCGAAUUCCAACACAAGUCCCCACAUCCCAACCAGUUUUCAGCAUGACAGCCUACACCUUUACAUUAUCAAGCACCCUUCAACUGUUUAAUUUUGAGUGUCUUUGCUUGCUGUUCUUUAUUAAAGUUUUUGCACAGUA